UACGUAGGGGGCUAGCGUUGUCCGGAUUUAUUGGGCGUAAAGAGCGUGUAGGCGGCCGAGUAAGUCCGGUGUGAAAACUCGAGGCUCAACCUCGAGAUGUCGAUGGAAACCGUCUGGCUAGAGUCCGGAAGAGGAGUGUGGAAUUCCUGGUGUAGCGGUGAAAUGCGCAGAUAUCAGGAAGAACACCCGUGGCGAAGGCGGCUUUCUGGGACGGUACUGACGCUGAGACGCGAAAGCGUGGGGAGCGAACAGG
rnacentral:rRNA from 1 species